rnacentral:rRNA from 1 species
UAGAUACCCUGUUACUCUUUAUUUUAAAUGAAAAUACCUGGGUAUUAAACAGUUAUUGUCUUGAAACUCAAAGGAUUUGGCGGUAACUUAGUCUAUUUAGAGGAACCUGUCCUGUAAUCGAUAAACCACGCAGAAUCUUGCCUCAUUUUGUAGAUCCAGUUUGUAUACCGUCAUUAUCAGGUAACUUUAAUAAAAAUUAGUUACUGUAAUAAAAGUUCUCUUUAGUAUAUUAGAUCAAGGUGCAGCUAAUAGUGAGGUAGAGAUGGGUUACAAUAUGAUAAGUGUAAAACGGCUUAAAAAUUAUAAUUUUUUUAUAAAGGUGGAUUUAAAAGUAGAGAAGAGUUUAGUAAGGCUUCUCGAUUUUAGCUCUAGGUUAUGUACAUAUCG